GGUGAAAAGCACCCCGGAAGGGGAGUGAAAUAGAACCUGAAACCGUGUGCUUACAAGUAGUCAGAGCCCGUUAAUGGGUGAUGGCGUGCCUUUUGUAGAAUGAACCGGCGAGUUACGAUUUGAUGCAAGGUUAAGCAGUAAAUGUGGAGCCGUAGCGAAAGCGAGUCUGAAUAGGGCGUUUAGUAUUUGGUCGUAGACCCGAAACCAGGUGAUCUACCCUUGGUCAGGUUGAAGUUCAGGUAACACUGAAUGGAGGACCGAACCGACUUACGUUGAAAAGUGAGCGGAUGAACUGAGGGUAGCGGAGAAAUUCCAAUCGAACCUGGAGAUAGCUGGUUCUCUCCGAAAUAGCUUUAGGGCUAGCCUCAAGUGAUGAUUAUUGGAGGUAGAGCACUGUUUGGACGAGGGGCCCCUCUCGGGUUACCGAAUUCAGACAAACUCCGAAUGCCAAUUAAUUUAACUUGGGAGUCAGAACAUGGGUGAUAAGGUCCGUGUUCGAAAGGGAAACAGCCCAGACCACCAGCUAAGGUCCCAAAAUAUAUGUUAAGUGGAAAAGGAUGUGGCGUUGCCCAGACAACUAGGAUGUUGGCUUAGAAGCAGCCAUCAUUUAAAGAGUGCGUAAUAGCUCACUAGUCGAGUGACACUGCGCCGAAAAUGUACCGGGGCUAAACAUAUUACCGAAGCUGUGGAUUGUCCUUUGGACAAUGGUAGGAGAGCGUUCUAAGGGCGUUGAAGCAUGAUCGUAAGGACAUGUGGAGCGCUUAGAAGUGAGAAUGCCGGUGUGAGUAGCGAAAGACGGGUGAGAAUCCCGUCCACCGAUUGACUAAGGUUUCCAGAGGAAGGCUCGUCCGCUCUGGGUUAGUCGGGUCCUAAGCUGAGGCCGACAGGCGUAGGCGAUGGAUAACAGGUUGAUAUUCCUGUACCACCUAUAAUCGUUUUAAUCGAUGGGGGGACGCAGUAGGAUAGGCGAAGCGUGCGAUUGGAUUGCACGUCUAAGCAGUAAGGCUGAGUAUUAGGCAAAUCCGGUACUCAUUAAGGCUGAGCUGUGAUGGGGAGAAGACAUUGUGUCUUCGAGUCGUUGAUUUCACACUGCCGAGAAAAGCCUCUAGAUAGAAAAUAGGUGCCCGUACCGCAAACCGACACAGGUAGUCAAGAUGAGAAUUCUAAGGUGAGCGAGCGAACUCUCGUUAAGGAACUCGGCAAAAUGACCCCGUAACUUCGGGAGAAGGGGUGCUCUUUAGGGUUAACGCCCAGAAGAGCCGCAGUGAAUAGGCCCAAGCGACUGUUUAUCAAAAACACAGGUCUCUGCUAAACCGUAAGGUGAUGUAUAGGGGCUGACGCCUGCCCGGUGCUGGAAGGUUAAGAGGAGUGGUUAGCUUCUGCGAAGCUACGAAUCGAAGCCCCAGUAAACGGCGGCCGUAACUAUAACGGUCCUAAGGUAGCGAAAUUCCUUGUCGGGUAAGUUCCGACCCGCACGAAAGGCGUAACGAUUUGGGCACUGUCUCAACGAGAGACUCGGUGAAAUCAUAGUACCUGUGAAGAUGCAGGUUACCCGCGACAGGACGGAAAGACCCCGUGGAGCUUUACUGUAGCCUGAUAUUGAAAUUCGGCACAGCUUGUACAGGAUAGGUAGGAGCCUUUGAAACGUGAGCGCUAGCUUACGUGGAGGCGCUGGUGGGAUACUACCCUAGCUGUGUUGGCUUUCUAACCCGCACCACUUAUCGUGGUGGGAGACAGUGUCAGGCGGGCAGUUUGACUGGGGCGGUCGCCUCCUAAAAGGUAACGGAGGCGCUCAAAGGUUCCCUCAGAAUGGUUGGAAAUCAUUCAUAGAGUGUAAAGGCAUAAGGGAGCUUGACUGCGAGACCUACAAGUCGAGCAGGGUCGAAAGACGGACUUAGUGAUCCGGUGGUUCCGCAUGGAAGGGCCAUCGCUCAACGGAUAAAAGCUACCCCGGGGAUAACAGGCUUAUCUCCCCCAAGAGUUCACAUCGACGGGGAGGUUUGGCACCUCGAUGUCGGCUCAUCGCAUCCUGGGGCUGUAGUCGGUCCCAAGGGUUGGGCUGUUCGCCCAUUAAAGCGGUACGCGAGCUGGGUUCAGAACGUCGUGAGACAGUUCGGUCCCUAUCCGUCGUGGGCGUAGGAAAUUUGAGAGGAGCUGUCCUUAGUACGAGAGGACCGGGAUGGACAUACCUCUGGUGUACCAGUUGUCGUGCCAACGGCAUAGCUGGGUAGCUAUGUGUGGACGGGAUAAGUGCUGAAAGCAUCUAAGCAUGAAGCCCCCCUCAAGAUGAGAUUUCCCAACUUCGGUUAUAAGAUCCCUCAAAGA
rnacentral:rRNA from 1 species